GGAAGAAACAAUUCCUUCUUUAUUCACAAUACAAGAAAGGCAAAGGGAAGUGAAAAGAAAAUGAUAAUUUUCCUUCAUGUUCCUCUAUCUUUAAGAUAACAAAAGAAGACAAGAAACUUCUUGAUCAGCAAGUGACGAAAUUAGGACAAUAAUUAUUAAUUUUUUACUGGUCAAUCCCCUGCAUCUUCCUCAUCAUGAGCACAAACUCGUAGAUCUUUUCAGGGUCAGGAAUGAUUUUGGCAACACUCUCUUUGUGCAUGCACCUCUUUAUCCAACCUGAAAUCUUGGGGAAUUCAGCUUCAACCUGGAAG
rnacentral:misc_RNA from 1 species